AUGGCUCUGGCAGCCAGAGAGCCAAGGAGCUGCAGGGAGAUCAGUGAUUGCAGCAAAACCAGCUCAUUUCUAUGAUCGCAGGUAUUUUCUGCGUUGUCCUGAUUUUUGUGCGUCCCUUUAACUGACAGGACUUCACGAAUUUUCACAAAUGGAAGUUCCCUCUGAGAAAAGCCAAAACCCUGCUGACCACUGCAGGAAGAGCCUGACCUGCUUCAUUUAAACCAUUUGUUUUGCCCAUUUUGCUUCUACAGCCCUCAGAAUUCACCCAGACUGAGGCACCAGCUGUGUGUUGUUGCCUCUGCCAGAUGUUACAAACGAUACAAACAAAACCAAAGAUUUCUUCCACAGUGACAGAGGAGGUUUUGAUUUCUAGGUAAAAACUGAUGCCCUGAGCAGGGGUUGCCAUGUCUUCUUGUCCUCCUGUUCCCAUUCCUCUCACAUGGUUCCUGUGGGAAUUGGGUUGAUGUGGAUGUUGAACACAACACUUUGUAGGCUGUUAGUGCUGAAGUUAAUUACAGCAGUUUUUAGUUCUUCCAUAGGCCUGGUACAGCUGUGAUAGAAAAAUUAGUUACAUUUCCUAAUCCUAAAUUUUGAAACAUGGUGAUUUCACACAGUCACUAAAAUCCAAGACUCCCUGCUGUUACCUAUGGCUCCUUUGACAGCUCCAUCUAAUAAUUGUUCUGUGUUAUUGAGGGGUAGAGCCUUCCUCAUUUUUGUUACCUACUAAGGUAUACAUGGGUAAAAUUAGCAAAAAUUUUUCCAUAUAAGGAAGAAACUAUCUGGUGGUACUUGGGAUAGUUAAACAAAGUACUUACUUUAAUUUAUUCCACCAGGCAAAGUGAGUGGCCAUAACCACCAAAGGGUCAGGUUUGCAAUUGUGAUUCCUUUAAUGAGGUUGGGGAAAGUACUUAUUUUUCAGCCACAGUUUGUUGCAGGCAGUUGCAUUCAUUGACUUAAGGGAUUUCAUCUCUCAGUGUUUAGGCCUUUUUGGGUCUACACAACAGACUUUUCUGUUAUUUAGAAACCUUUUGCCCACUGACCAGUUCCCACCUGAAGUACUGGGAUGUGUUAAAACUCAGUAAACUAUUGAAAAAAACCAUCAGCAAUUGCUAGAAGUAUUUUUAAGGAAGAUAUAUCUCUGAGUAAUAUCUGUGGAUGUGAAUAAACAGGGAUAUUCAGAUAAAAUUAAAAGAAGACAUGAUCUGGAUUACCAGGAGAAUUGAUGUAGGCAAUUAAUUUAAGACAUGUAAAACUAGAUUAAACAAAUGCUAGGAAUUAGUUCUAUGAAGCAUUCUUGUGAAGACAGAAUAGUUUGGCUAUGUGGUGAAUUGUAUGAAUUUUCCUACAUAUCUAAAUUUCUGUAUGUAUUUUUUACCCAUGGAUCUCUGCUAGUUCCAUGUGAAGUUGUUUAUGUCAGUCUGGUCUGAGUUGCACAUAAAUAAAUUCAUUUGAAUUUCUUA